GAUAGCUCGUUCUCUCCGAAAUGCAUCUAGGUGCAGCCUUGCGUGUUUAAUGAUGGGGGUAGAGCACUGACUGAACUAGGGGGCAUAUAGCUUACUGAAUUCAAUCAAACUCCGAAUACCAUUAUUCGAGAGCGCAGGAGUGAGACCAUGGGAGUUAACUUCCAUCGUCGAAAGGGAAACAACCCAGACCACCAGCUAAGGUCCCAAAUCAUAUCUAAGUGGGAAAGGAGGUGGAGAUUCUUAAACAACUAGGAG
rnacentral:rRNA from 1 species